rnacentral:rRNA from 1 species
UACGUAGGGUGCCAGCGUUGCUCGGAAUUACUGGGUGUAAAGGGUGCGUAGGCGGGUCUUUAAGUCAGGGGUGAAAUCCUGGAGCUCAACUCCAGAACUGCCUUUGAUACUGAAGAUCUUGAGUUCGGGAGAGGUGAGUGGAACUGCGAGUGUAGAGGUGAAAUUCGUAGAUAUUCGCAAGAACGCCAGUGGCGAAGGCGGCUCACUGGCCCGAUACUGACGCUGAGGCACGAAAGCGUGGGGAGCAAACAG